UUAUGGCUCAGUGGUAGAGCGCCUAUCUAGCAUACAUGAGGCACUGAGUUCAAUUCUCAGCAUAUAAA
rfam:Ictidomys tridecemlineatus contig004008, whole genome shotgun sequence.